AGAACGUAGUUGUUGCAUGACAUUGAUGCUAUCAAAUACAGCAGGCUCUAAAGUGUUAUUUGGUUUAACACAUCUAAUGUAGUGGGGCUCUUUAGAGUUUAGAGUAUCCAUUAACUGCUGCAGUUGUUGCUUAAAUCGCAAUCCGAUGGAGGAGAAUUUUGAUGGUUUGGCUGUCUCCUCAGAAAAUGAAUGAAAGAGGCUUCUAAUGGUAAAAUCUGUGCGAGUGAGUUUUGGCUUAAAAAAUCGCUUGUGAUCUUUGAAAGUCUGAUAAAGUUUCUCUGCAAAUGUCUCAUGAGUUGACUUUGGAAACAUGCAGGCCUCAUCAAGAAGGGCUAUUAUACCCCCAGGUUUCUUCUCAAUGAGAUCCAAAACAUCCUGGUUAUCUACAAAUUCAACGUAGCUCCAAUUUAUUUCCUCUCUUGUAUACUCUUCUUGCUCCAUCUUAAAUACGUGCUGGUUAAAAUGUUGUUGCAACUUCUCAUUUGUUAGGUUGAUGCAUAGCUGUUCAAAACUGUUAAUCUUGAAGCUUUCAAAGCCAUAAAUAUCAAGAACUCCAAUUAUACUUGUCGCAUUGGGAUCUUGACCUAUUGAAUUGUUAAUCUUAUCCACAAUCCAAUCAAACAGCCUAGAGUACACAGUCUUAGCUAAGGCAUCACGACUCAAGGCAGCUAGGUCUGGGUCCAGAGGUUUUGUAAUGUUUCCAUCAGGAGUCACUAUGACACGCUUGCAAAGUGAGUCUUCCAGUGCAUUCUCAUCACACCUUAGUAACUCCGCUGCAGUUAGCAGAUGGUAGCGUGCUUUCUCAUCUUUGAGCUUGGAAGAAUCCGUUUCUUUCCCUUUGAUGAAGUCAAUAUUUCCAAGAUGAAGGAUUGCAGCAACUACACGGAAUAUUGCAUCCUACCGAAGAGAAAUGAACCUCAGGUAUGUGGAAUGUCUUUAUGCCGAAAGGAAAUUUCAAAUCCAUAAUUUGUUCCUGUACUAAUGUAAAGGAUCAACACCUGUUCAUCCUGGCUGAUCCCUACAAUAUCCAUUGCAUUUCUGGUCUCCAGAUACUCUCUGGCAUCAUCUACAUUUGCCACUUGAUAACAGUUGGAUUGGUUUAAAUAGUGGAAUUCUCUUGGAUCCCCUAACUUGAAUUUUUUGACAUCCUGAUAGGAAACAUCAGUCAGCUGGCUUUCCCAUGACUAUUAUUUUUAACUUGGCUGGAGUUGAAAAAAAAAAUGUAUAAAAUUACCUCUGGUGGUGCUGCACAAAGCAUGUAAAAACAAUGAUAGUUUCUCUCAGGGUCAGAAACUUGGCAAACACGUGACCUUUCAAGAAGGUAAGUACGAACUGCAGCUCCAGAGAUUUUUCCUUGCUUAUCAAACUGUAUCUCAACAAACUUACCAAAACGACUGGUUGAACCACCCAAUUUGUAAUUGUAAGUUCAACUAAUAUAGAAACGGAAAAUUUUAUUUUUGGGGGAAAAAGGAUAGUAGAGUUAAAUGGAGCAUCAAAAUUUCACCUGGAAUUGUUGUUUUUCACAGUUUUAGCAUUCCCAAAUGCUUCCAAGACUGGAUUUGACUGGAGGAAUGGAAAUAUAACUAUGCAUUCCAUUGGUGGAAUCAUAUAAUAGUCAGAUAGUGUCACAUUUCUAACUUACCUCCAAAACUUGUUGUUCUACAGUUCUUCCUUCUGUGACUGAUCUGCCCCCCAUGAACGCAAGGUAUCUCAUAAGCAUCUUUGUUGUCUCUGUUUUACCAGCUCCACUCUCCCCACUUACCAAAAUGGACUGGCUUUCCUGUUCGUUCAUCAUUGCUCUGAUGCAUAAAUUUAUUAUAUUAGCUUUAUAUUAUGACAUGAUUUGGUGCAGUUUGUUUUGUGCUUAUAUAUUAUACCUGUAACAAGUGUCUGCCACAGCAAAAAGGUGUGGACUCAGCUCCCCAAAAGCUGCUCCUUUGUACUGCUCCAUCAUGUGAAUAUUGUACAAAUGUGGCAGUCUUUGAAAAGGAUUCACAGCAAUUAGAAUGUUCCCAGUGUAAGUCUGCUUAUUUCAGGACUGGUUAUCAGUAUUGUGGUUUGUUGAAAACAUCUUUAGUUUUCAAGGCUAAGCAAUUUCACAGAGAUGUAAAUUAGGUCAAUGUUGACUCACAUAUAUCUCAUUUAGAGCAAACCGACAAGCAAGGUUAUGUAAAACCCCUGGUUCAUGGAGGUAAGCCAAUUUGGUCAUGUCAUCAACUCCUGCUGGCGGUGCCUCUGUGUCUUUCGGAUAUAUGCUGGAAAUAUCUGCAACGAACUGGAGUUGAGGUAAAAAGAGCAACAAUUUAGUUUAUGAUUUGUCAUACUACAGUGGCUUUUAGAUGCCAGUUCAACACAACUUCCAUAUCUAAGAAUAAAACUUUUUUUAAUUUUUUUGAAGCUAUCUAAGAAUAAAACUUGACCACAAGAAAAUAUAUAUAUGACCAUUUAUAAGUUUCGCUUUUCAUUGGCAUGAAAGCAGGAAAAGAAUAAAUAACAAAAGUAGCUGAGGUAUGAUUGACAUAACCAUUAUGAUUGAUGAAGCUCCUUUGUUGCUUCCAAAGGAAAAAUGCAGUUUAAAUGCUAGCUUAUCACUUGUGUAUACAUUCUUGAACCAUUCCAUACAAGUUCAAUCUAAACCCUGAAAAAUUUUAGUAAUACAGAAAUGUAUCAUAAAAAAUUCUUAGUCGCAGUUUUAUCCUUCUAAUAGUUAAUAACCUGUAUGGUAAAUUCAUAAUAUUGCUUCCUUUUUUCUUAUUUUAUGUAAGGCACUUCAACUGUAAGAUAGUUGGAAUGUGUUAUUCAGACUUUUGCUAAAAAGUUUGUUAUAGUAUUGUAAUAUUCGGGCAGUGUAGCUGAUGGAUGCCUUAGAGGGUAAAAAAAAAUCUUCCUUUAGAUCCUGAAUAGUAAAGCUUGUUUGUUCAACAACGCAUUAGUAGAAAGAACCAGAUGAGAAAUUUCAUACAGUAGAUGGUUUCAAAUCAAAUAUCAUAUCAACAUCUGAAAUACAAGUGAACUCAAAGUUCUCGAGGAUUGGAACUAAUCAAUAGCAAGUGAAAGCAGCUUACAGUUUUCCCAUUUGUGGCAACUAUGGUGGCAUCUCUGCCAUUGAUUUCUUUCACUUCACCAUCAAUCCAUGCAUCCUCAAGAUCCUCUGCCCAAACAUGGGAUCCAACUAUGAUAUUGACUGGAGUUCCCUGAAUCAUCAAAUAAAAAGAAGAAAAGCAUUUCAAUGUUUUGCUAGGAAAUAUAAGAGUUGAAAGUGAAUAAGAAAAUGAAAAACAGAAACUGAUGAUUGAGGAGCUUACCAUAUUGAAAACCUAUAUGAUCAUCAAGAUUCAGAAUAAGAAAGAUAAGAAAAAACGUGAAUGUGUUGCUGGAGAGAGAGAGAGAGAACUCUUAAGGGAAUGCUAGCAUGUUCUAAGGAUUGUAUAAUGUUGGAUUGCAGUAUUUGAAAGUAGAAAAGAAUGAUGAAAAGGAAUUCAAAAGAAGAGGAAGGAGUAGGCGGUGGUAACGCGAGAGCAAAAAAGCAUCGGCCACCCCUCACCUCCCGCCCCCACUCCAUUUCAACUUUUUGCUUGCUCCACCUAGGAUGCUGACAUGGCUCAAUGAGAAGGCCCCAACAUAAGAACUAUUUUAAUCAUCAUGAGGCCGGUUAUGUAGGUCCAUUGCUUAAGUCAUACGUAGAAACCCCAUCCACCACAUACAUUGUUAUGUGGUUAUUGCACCCAUGUUAUUCGUGGACCCAAUACAUUGCCAUGUUCAGGUGAAUCAGGUCUUACUAUUUCAUUUGGUAUUGAGUUGUAACAGCUUUAUUAGUAGUAGUUUUAUUAAAAUUCAAAAGCUGAUCCAUAUCUUUUGAAUAUUCAUUGCUCUAACUUCUACUUAAAAAUGGCCUUGGAGUAGGGCGGUCAACAUGGUUGCAGGGGACCAAUACGCUGAAAGCAUGCCUAACUGAAGGACACUGCUGCCCCUUGUUUUGAUCAGCCUUGAAUUUUGGAGCGUUUCCAGAACAUUAUUUGUUUUUAACAACAUCGUGACUGAAUUCUGAAGGGAGACUAGUGAUGGAAUUAGAGCCUACUGGAACGCAUGCCCAUUUUCUCACACGCAAACGCAAGAGAAGUGCGUACGGUAGGUUUAGCAGCAUUGUUUCGUGGGCUAACUACACGCCAAUACGCCAUACCCAUACAUUUUGGAGGUACGAUAUAUUUUUGUUAGUCAAUGACAUAAUGGACAGUUUGGUGAUUCUGAUUGUGAAGAUUAAAAGGGGCAGAUGACAACUAGAAUGGAAAUGAUGGAUGUGGACCACACAUCUUAUUUUUAACAAGUCUCACUUUAUCUGAUUUUAUUUAUUUUACAUAUGGAUUUUAUUAUAUAUAUUGCA
rnacentral:misc_RNA from 1 species